rnacentral:misc_RNA from 1 species
UCGAGACAGUGGGCAACCGCAUAUCUCCACCCUUGAAUAUAUAUUUAUUUGCUUUAGCGGGCCGUCAGGCUCCUGACCCGGUGACGGCCGGUCGUGCCCGCUAGAGGGACCCUAACUUCUGAAUUAUUUGGCGUCUGAGUACUAUAUAAUAGUUA